GAUGAACGCUGGCGGCGUGCUUAACACAUGCCAGUCGAACGAUGAAGCCCAGCUUGCUGGGUGGAUUAGUGGCGAACGGGUGAGUAACACGUGAGUAACCUGCCCUUAACUCUGGGAUAAGCCUGGGAAACUGGGUCUAAUACCGGAUAGGAGCGUCCACCGCAUGGUGGGUGUUGGAAAGAUUUAUCGGUUUUGGAUGGACUCGCGGCCUAUCAGCUUGUUGGUGAGGUAACGGCUCACCAAGGCGACGACGGGUAGCCGGCCUGAGAGGGUGACCGGCCCCCCUGGGACUGAGAGACGGCCCAGACUCCUACGGGAGGCAGCAGUGGCGAAUAUUGCACAAUGGGCGCAAGCCUGAUGCAGCGACGCCGCGUGAGGGAUGACGGCCUUCGGGUUGUAAACCUCUUUCAGUAGGGAAGAAGCGAGAGUGACGGUACCUGCAGAAGAAGCACCGGCUAACUACGUG
rnacentral:rRNA from 1 species